UACAGAGGGGGCAAGCGUUGUUCGGAAUUACUGGGCGUAAAGGGCGCGUAGGCGGCCUGUUAAGUCGAACGUGAAAUCCCCGGGCUCAACCCCGGGCCUGCAGUCGAUACGGGCAGACUAGAGUGCGGUAGGGGAGACUGGAAUUCCUGGUGUAGCGGUGAAAUGCGCAGAUAUCAGGAGGAACACCGGUGGCGAAGGCGGGUCUCUGGGCCGUAACUGACGCUGAGGAGCGAAAGCGUGGGGAGCGAACAGG
rnacentral:rRNA from 1 species